rnacentral:rRNA from 1 species
GAGUAAUGCUUGGGAAUCUAGCUUAUGGAGGGGGAUAACUACGGGAAACUGUAGCUAAUACCGCGUAAUAUCGAAAGAUUAAAGUGUGGGACCUUCGGGCCACAUGCCAUAGGAUGAGCCCAAGUGGGAUUAGGUAGUUGGUGAGGUAAAAGCUCACCAAGCCGACGAUCUCUAGCUGGUCUGAGAGGAUGACCAGCCACACUGGGACUGAGACACGGCCCAAACUCCUACGGGAGGCAGCAGUGGGGAAUAUUGCGCAAUGGGGGCAACCCUGACGCAGCCAUGCCGCGUGAAUGAAGAAGGCCUUCGGGUUGUAAAGUUCUUUCGGUAGCGAGGAAGGCAUUUAGUUUAAUAGACUAAGUGAUUGACGUUAACUACAGAAGAAGCACCGGCUAACUCCGUGCCAGCAGCCGCGGUAAUACGGAGGGUGCGAGCGUUAAUCGGAAUAACUGGUCGUAAAGGGCACGCAGGCGGACUUUUAAGUGAGGUGUGAAAGCCCCGGGCUUAACCUGGGAAUUGCAUUUCAGACUGGGAGUCUAGAGUACUUUAGGGAGGGGUAGAAUUCCACGUGUAGCGGUGAAAUGCGU